rnacentral:lncRNA from 1 species
GCAGGGAAAGGGAGCAUUGUCGAGCGCCUGGCUGGAUGUCCCUGCUCUGCAACCCCAGCACCUUGUAGCAGGCGGCUCAAGGCUAAUGCUGGAGGAAGAGGGUGGAGGGAAGGAGCCAGGCAGCCAAGUUUCAGUGUGACCUCAGAAAGUGUGAACAGGGAUAGAGACUGCAACUCCACAGUGCCCCACCACUUCUGGGAACUGCAGCUUCUAGGAUGGACACAGGUAAGGACACAAGAAGGAGGUGGCCAUCUACAACCUAUCAGAUGGCUCUCGACAGAACCCAACCCUCCUGGAACCCUGAUUUCAGACUGCCAGCAUCCAGAAUUGUGGUGAAAUUUCUAUAGUUUAUAAGCCACUCAGUCUAUGGGCUGCCCCCAAUGCCAAAAGGAGCCUUCUGGGCCACCUUACCGCCACCCCCAGCAAUGAAGAGGUGAGCCAAGAGAGCACCAGAAGCACACACCCGUGGGUGUCUCCCCGCACCGCAUUGAAAUGAGAAGACACAUAAGUCUCAAAACCAGACUUCCAGAUCACCUAAAGCAACCCCAAAGGGAAAUGAGAUGGAACAAUCUGAUACUCAACCUCCUGGACUCCCUGAACUGGCAACAGAAGAGGAUCUCGAAAAAAUGAAAUCAGAAAUAAUUUGUCAAUAGAUUGUGCCCAUAGUGCAAGACAUGAUCAAUAAAUCUGUAGAGGAAACAGAUAAAAAAAUAGAGGAGCUGAGGAACAUGAUGGAAUACCAACAUAGGAAACAAAUGGAAUCCAUAAAACAGAUGCAAACACAUUUCCAGGACAUUAAAAACUCCACAGCAAUUACACAAGAGAAAGAAAGAAAAGGACUAAAGAUAGGAAAAGAAGAAGUCAAACUGUCAUUAUUGCAGAUGACAUGAUGCUCUACAUAGAAGACCCCAAGAACUCCACCAAAAUUCUUCUAGACUUAAUAACCAAAUUCAGUAGAGUAGCUGGAUACAAGGUCAACACAAAAAUCAAUAUCUUUCCUCUACAUGAACAACAGACUCAGUGAGAGAGAAAUAGGGCAAAUAAUUCCUUUCACAACAGCUUCCAAAAAACUGAAAUACCUAGGAAUCAGUCUAACAAAAGAAAUCAAAGACCUCUUCUCUGAAAACUAUAGCACUCUGAAAAGAGAGGUUGAUGAUGAUAUCAGAAAAUGG